UCGACGUUUCAGCCACACUGUAUGGCUUUUAUCAGGAUCUCCACAGCUCAAAUGAGCUGUGGAGAUCCUGAUGAAAGCCAUGUAGUGUGGCUGAAACGU